UACGAGGGGGGCUAGCGUUGCUCGGAAUUACUGGGCGUAAAGGGCGCGUAGGCGGCACUGUUAGUCAGGCGUGAAAGUCCUGGGCUCAACCUGGGAACUGCGCUUGAUACGGCAGAGCUAGAGGAUGGAAGAGGCUCGCGGAAUUCCCAGUGUAGAGGUGAAAUUCGUAGAUAUUGGGAAGAACACCGGUGGCGAAGGCGGCGAGCUGGUCCAUUACUGACGCUGAGGCGCGACAGCGUGGGGAGCAAACAGG
rnacentral:rRNA from 2 species